rnacentral:misc_RNA from 1 species
GAUGAAGAACGUAGCGAAAUGCGAUAAGUAAUGUGAAUUGCAGAAUUCAGUGAAUCAUCGAAUCUUUGAACGCACAUUGCGCCCGCUAGUAUUCUGGCGGGCAUGCCUGUCCGAGCGUCAUUUCAACCCUCAAGCCCCCGGGCUUGGUGUUGGGGAUCGGCGAGCCUCCGCGCCCGCCGUCCCCUAAAUCUAGUGGCGGUCUCGCUGUAGCUUCCUCUGCGUAGUAGCACACCUCGCACUGGGAAAUAGCGCGGCCACGCCGUUAAACCCCCAACUUCUGAACGUUUGACCUCGGAUCAGGUAGGAAUACCCGCUGAACUUAAGCAUACAAUAAGCGGAGGA